UACGGAGGGGAGCGAGCGUUGUUCGGAAUCGAUCUGGGUGUAAAGGGUGCGUAGGCGGUGCGUUAAGUCUGAUGUGAAAGCCCUGGGCUCAACUCAGGAAUUGCAUUGGAAACUGGCGUGCUGGAGUACGGGAGAGGGAAGCGGAAUUCCUGGUGUAGCGGUGAAAUGCGUAGAUAUCGGGAGGAACACCCGCGGUGUAGACGGCCUGCUGGACCACGACUGACGCUGAGGCACGAAAGCGUGGGGAGCAAACAGG
rnacentral:rRNA from 1 species